CUGAGAACAAAGGAGCCGUACCAGGGAAGUUGAAGCCUAUCUUCAUUUUCAAGUGCAGGCUAAAAUAAGGUAAGAAAACUUAGAUGAAAAGUAUGCUGAACUAUAAUUUCCCCAUGAAGAAAUGUUCACACGACCUACUUCCUGUCCUAGCUCCAGAGCCUGAAAAGGUCUGAGGAAAAGAAUGAGCAGCGUGUGAAGGAUAGGAACAGAAAUCAUGGAAGAUCUGUUUGUCCAGGCCAGUGUUUCACCAUAAGAGAUCACUUUAAAAUAAAUGAGAUGAAAUAAUUCUUUGCAAUUGCAAAUUUACCUUCCUUGCUUACCACAUUGUUAACUGUAGGGACUGAUAAUCUGGUUCUUCCACUAUUAACUUGUACUCUGUGUUCUAGCAAUAAAUGCUCUUUAUGCUA
ensembl:processed_transcript Snhg1 small nucleolar RNA host gene 1